GAUAGUAAACCUGUACAGUAGAUAGUAAACCUGUACAGUAGAUAGUGGUUUACUAUCUACUGUACAGGUUUACUAUC
rnacentral:pre_miRNA from 1 species